UAUCGCAAUACAACGCUAUUGAUGAGUAAAUCAUAGGGGAAUGCAAGAACCGUGAUUUUUGCAUGUUUUCUUUAUAGGGUUAUGCCCUUUUCAUUUACACUUCUUGAAUGUGUACUGAAUAUUAAAUAAGCCUGAGUUAUGCUGGUAAGCUGAGCCUUCUAAUGUGGCACUCAAAGUUCAAUUAUUUCAACAGCAUGUUUCAUGAAAUCUCUCUUUGAAUGAAUCAGUGUUUUUUUAAAGCAUAGUUGAAUGAAUGGUUUGAAGACUGACUGACAGUCCGUCUAGAACACGCAGGUAAAAAUAUGAAUAGAAAGACUCUUGUCCAGUCAGAAUUGAAUUUGUACAUUAGAUUCUGCUAUGUAGAUAUGCAGUAUUUUACUGAAACCGUUUGUUUCUUUUUUUAGACAAAUAUAGGCAUGGGUUGCUAGAUAAAACACCAUUAAAAAACUUCUUUUUAGCUCAAUCCUAAAAUAUUUUACAACUCCCUCCAGCUCUUCAGAAAUGUUCCCAUCUACUAGAAAUGGAAAACAUGUGUUUAUAUGUAAGCACAGCCAACAUCUCCUCUCCCGUGUAGCAGUUCACUUCUCCAUGGCAACAGCAAUUGUCUGUAACAUGAAAAAUGCAAUUUCUAUAGAAUCUUGGACUUUAAUGUGAGAAAAGAUUCACUGUUUAGCUUGAGAAUUUACAUUGAGAAUGAGCUAAUAUUUAAUUUUUUUUUUUUUUUUUCGCUUAUAGUUCAACGUUUCUGUCAAGGUAAACAUGUUUGGAUUUUACGCUCAUGAUCAUGUUCCAUAUAUUGAUAUUGUGCAUUUCGUCAUAUUUUCUAUUCAGAGCAUUCAAUACCUUUGCCUUAAACCCUCUAUUUCCCACAAGAGCUAGUUUUUGUCUUCAGUCAGCGGUGUUGAUUCACAGAGUUACAAUUCUUCUCCCCUCUUGAUUAGAAAGCGGAGGAAGGAAGUCUGGGCAACUUCACAGCAAUUGCAACCACAAUGGCUCGUUACCUCCAGAACAAAACCCUCCAUACACAUCCCAUGAGAUGGUCAGUUCUGUUGCAGACCGAUUUUCCCCAGUGCGCUCCCUGGGCCGCUCCACAUGUGCCAGAUGUGAGUCGUCUUUGUGCUCGGAGUCAACCCCAGAACAUCUACUCCAUCCUGAAGACAUCUUGCAAGCAACUGCAAUUCAUAUCCAGAGAAGAAACUUGGCAGAGCUUCAGACAAAUAUAAGUGUCCGCUCUUGAUUAGAGCAAGGCUGGUGAGAGGAUCAACUCCUGACAGGACGUUUGUUUGAUAAAUUUACACAGCAAAAAAAUACGAUGCAUGAGAUUUUGAGACAUUUCGAAAAACUUGGCAUGUUCUGUUAAUUAUUGUUAAUACAUUUCCUUUUCUAAUCAUUUUGUUUACAAGGACGUGACAUGUCAAGGGGCUUGUAAGUAUUUUCAACUCCAGACAGAUGUUUCUUUUAGUCAUUAUUAGAUAAACAAAGACUUCCAGCCAAGGAAAUCACUACAGUUUGAAAUGACAUAUAUCUCCAUAACCGUAUCUGCAACGUCUAACUCAUGAGUUGCGCUGUAUUUCUUUGUCUCAGCACCCCAUUUAGAACAAGCUAGACCGGCUGCAGUAUAUUUCACGGAUCUUAAACGAAUCUCGUGUUUCAUAAAUCAAAUUAUUUCAAGUUAUUCUUCAUUUCUGCCUAUUUCAUUAUGUCACGAUGAAGAACUGUGUCCGGUCUUCGCUGUUUAGAGCUUUAGCGGGAGAAAGAGGGGGGGAGGGGAAGAGUAUGAGUUUGUGUGUGUUCUGUCUUUUUCUUUUGCUGCAGACAGACUGGGGAUGUCAGGUGCAUGAUGGGAAGUGGGUUCGCAGGGGACAGCAGUGUGGCGUAAGGCCAGAAUCAAUUGGCGGUGUAAUGAGAUGGCUUGGUGCCAGGUUUCCAUGGAGCUCACUUUUCCUGUCCUUCACUGGAGGAUUUGUAAAUUAAAGGGAGAGAGAAAGCUUUGGAGGGAGGCAGGAGAGAAAGGGAGAGAGGCAAACAGAAAGAAAAGGAGGGAGUGGGUGGCAGAGGAGUAGCAAAAGGGCACAACCAAAGGAGGGGGCACGAAGCUAGACAGAGAAAGGUGCAGCGAUUUACAAAAAAGAAAGAGGGGAUGCAAGACAGAGGCUUGGAAUGCUGUAGCUCCAGAGAGCUCAGCACAGCGCAAUUCGCCGAAGAUGACGGGGCUUCGUAAUGCGCGCUGUCUUUCAGACAUUUUUUUUGGUUUUUGAUGCCGAACUCAAGCUCAGGAUCUCAGAGAUAAGGUACACUUGGCGAAGAGAUGAAAAGAAGGUCUUUCCUUUCUAUUUCUGUGUGCCACAAUGAUAGGUGCUUUUCAUUUCUGCCCCCUCGAGCCAAAAAUCUGUCUGAUAAAACUUACUGAAAUCAGUGCAGUCAUAUCCCUUCAAUCCAGCAGCGAAAAGACUGUCGUGAUUGCGCAAAAAGUGGCUGAUUAGCAUUAUAAAACAUCAUUUAUUUUGAGAGUCAUUCACUUUGCGACUCUAUUACGGAUAACCUUGCGCAAGAAGUUCUUCUUCGCUUAUCAUUCUCGCAGCUACAUUUCAGAAUACAGCAUGCUUUAAAAUUGAAGGUUUUCUCACGCACAAAGGACUCUCGUCUUGUGCGGUUAAUGCCCUUCUUUUUCACAAAGGCCAACUUUUUUUCAUUUAGGAGCUUAAUUCUUCCACUCCGGGGGUAUUUCAUUCCCAAGAUCUCCGGUUUGUCCAUGUUGAAUUAACCACCAGCUUUCCCGCAGGCACCGCAAUGUUUUAUGCAUACCGUUUAUUAAUUUACAUCACGAUUUGCCUGUUUAUCCAGACUCGGAUAAUCCUUUUCACUCUGAUCACAAAUUUACAGCAUUCCUAUUUUAUGGGCCUUGGCAUCUUUAAGCUGAUAAUUUAUUUUGAAUGAAACAAAUUCGUAGAAGCUGGAACUCUCCUUGUCUUGAUUCGGGCGGGAGGGUGUGGAUGUUGAUGGUGCCGGCUGGGCCCGUGUUGGAUUAGAAGCCUGAAGUAUAUUGACGGAGCAUUUGAGGUCAGCUGGGGACACACAAGACUGUAACCCGCUGAGAACCACAGAGGAACCGGCUGAGUCAUGGUCUCAAAUCAGUUUCAGCCAAUCCUGGAGGGUGGAUGCGAUGGUGGUGGAACAGAGUGGAUAGUGUUGGAGUGGUUCAUGGGUAGACGGGAACAAAGAGACUCUUCAUGUCCUCUGUGCCUCACAUGCAUCAUCUCGCAUAAAGCUCAUUCUGUCUGUAUUGGGAUACUAUCCUCUUAUUUCCCCGAUACAUUCUUAAGAUGUUGUGCAGGGAUAACAUAAAGAAAAGGAGAAGAUGCUUGAACCUUACCACAAAUCAAAGCUAAAUGACACUAAUUGGUCCACCGGCGCUGUUUUCUCUUGACUGCAGACCGCAUUGUAAUGAAAACAAAACACCACUUUGGAGCAUUUUCUUUCCCACGAGAUUAACCGUAAUUAACUAGUAUCACUGCUGGGCAGCAGGUGAUGUCUCAGCCACGGACAAAGGGCUGAUUGGUCAUGCUACAUUUUUGGAUGUAAUUGAGACACAGUUUACUUCAUAUUUAACCUUCGUCAACAGCACCAUUUUAUUGAUGUGCUAAUAUUGAUCAUUUAUUUAACAUGCUGAGACUUUCUCUAAUGUAGAGGCCUUGGGUUUAUAGUAGAAGGCAGAAAAAAUAAGUUCAUGUUGUAGCUUCUGUUUUGCAUUUUUAAUUUAAUAAUAUUUUUUAAAUGUCAAUAAUAACAAUAAGAAGAAUUAAUCACAUUUCAUCUGUAAUUUUUUUUAACUACAUUUGAACUCUUUUAAAACUAUUUUGAGAAUAUUUUUGUAUUUAAUUGUUUCAGUGAAAACCACACUUAAGCUAUUUUAACUGUGGAAAAACCUGAUGAUCGUGUUCUCCAGUAUGAUGCGAGUUGAUCCAAAAAGCUUCUAGUGCAUCAAUGGCAACAAGAACAUCUCGUGUCCGUUCAAAGACAGUCACAUGGUCAGUGUCACAUGUCAUUUAAUUUUAGAUAGUAACCAAGAAAUAAUGUAGAACCUGCAACGCAUGUAAAUAUAUAUAUCAGACAUCAGAACUUUUCUUUGUCACUUUCCAGUUUUAAAUGUGAUUCUAAAUCCUAGAUUUCAGAGUUUUGGUCCUUCAGAUCCCACUUGGUCACUUUCUGCUGCAAUUUCUAGCUCUGGCUUUAUAUCUGGCUGGUCAGGAGUGAGACAGAGAGACCGCUGGCCCGUUUUUUAGAUUUUGGUUAAUGCAAUGGAUUGGUGGAGCAGUGCCGCAGCAGUGCGUGAGUAGAAUAUCAGAGAGAGGGAGAGGCAUUGAAUUUGGAGGGGUGAGACAUGGUGCCUUCUUAACGGAGUCUGAAGGCAUAUGUUUAUCACCGACACGCUGUACACUGUACACGACUCACCCUCCCUCCAACCACCACGCUGGGAGUCGAGUAGAGUAAGAGGGGCUGGAGGUAUUGCUUACAGUCAGCGCUCUGCGGGAAACACCACUGCGUGUUCACAUGGCUUCUCCCCGUCCCCUGGGAAACGGCACAUACCCGCCGGGCAUUCAAGUCUAUUGGGGUGUCAGCUUCAGUCUGCUGAGUACAGCCGGCAUCUUAAAGUGUGAACGCUGGAGAUGAUCAGGUUUUAAAGUGCUGUGUUUGGCCUAAUGCUGAGAUCAGCGCUCAAAAAACAUUUUCAACCUCUGCUGCUGGUGUUUCUUGUUGUUGUUGUUGUUUUUGGUAUAGUUAGGUUUGAUGCUCUGAUUUAUGAACGUCUACAUAGCAAAGCGCUAUAUUUGCAGACUGCUGAUCCUAAGAAGAUGUGCCACAAUAAGACCCUCUAUUCUUAGCCGGCACACACUGAUGCGCUUUGCUGUCAGCCUGGACCCACUAGUAUUUCAAUUAAAAAAAUCUUAUUUCACUAGAAAGAUAUAGGUUAAGACAAAAGAAAGGAAACACUGGUUUUCAGAAAGUGUCAGUGUUUGCCGAAAUGGCAAGUCCACCGCGAAGCAAUUUCGCCCCAGCAAACAAUGGCACGGGGCCAACGAGACUCUUUCAGAAGCUAGACUGAACUGCAGAUUAGUAUUUAUUUUUGGUGCAGAGAAGUCUUCCAAGAAGUAUGCGUGUGCAUGUGUGUGUGUUUUUGGGAGGUGUAUGUGUGUGAGGUUGGGGGGUUUGGUCGGGCGGUCUGGGAGAGGGGAGCGUGAGGACUGCCGAGGAGUUGUUACCUGGGUUGCUCCUCUACAGCUGGGAGAGAGAGAGAGGCAAGAGGAGGAGACGAGGUUAAGGGGUGACGGGACUGGUGCACAAACUCCAUUUUCCUUUUUGCCGAAUUUCCACAGUCGCUUCUUUCUUUUCUGUUUCGCUUCAUUCAACAGAGUGAGUGAAAGAGAGGGAGAGGGCUAUAGAGAGAGAGUGAAAGAGAAAAUCAAGCCAAUUUUUUUUUUAAGACUCGAUCUUGGCUUUCUUACAAACAGAUGUUGCCUGUCAUUUGGUCGUUAAGCAGGCACAUAGAUCGUACAAUACUGAGGUUUUACUGACUUGCUUUCUCUUAUUUAUGGUUUUAUUACAAGGAAAAUCGAUCUCUCAUAAACAUGGGAAUGAUUUUUUCCCAAUUCAUUGUUUUUUUUUAUUUUUAUAAUGUAUUUUUCCCUCGCUGUAUCUCAUCCAUUUGCUCGUUUCUAUUUUUUUUUUUUUUUUGCGCAUUUGUGUUUUGGGCUUUCGUGGGCCACAGUGGACGUCCUCCAUACCUUCUACCAGUACUGUAAGUACAGUGAGUGCAAUGAGACCUUUUGGAAACAGUAAACAGACAGUCGGUAAGCAUUUGAUUCUUUCUAUUCGGCAUAUUUGUUUACCACAUCGUUACGUUUUAUUUUCCUGUGCUUUAUAUUUGCCAUUUUUUAUCGUUGUUGUAGAAGUCAGUGUUGUUGGUGUGCAGGUUGCUGAGGCCUGGGCGUGUUAUUGAAGUUGAUCUGAUGUAAAAUCCUAUAUCCGUUCACUUUGGUUCAGAAAGACAGGGUCAGUCUCACUCCUGCUGACCCCUAUUCAGCUGAUUUUGAGGAGUCUUUCAACUUUUUGGCAUAGCCCCACUUACAUAGUUAAAGGAUCUUGGCACCUAGUUCAAAGUCAGUCUGUUCAUUUGUGUUCAAGUAGUGGGAAACGGGAAGGGAACUGUCAGAAGCUCUUCACCGGAGGUGCAGUGCCAGUCCAAAUCGACCAUCACAUUAUUUCACACUGAGCCACGUGUUAUUAAUGGCACUGGGUUUGGCUUUGUGGGCCAGACUUACUUCACACAUCUUUAUUAUGCUUAGGAGGGGCCUGAAACAUUUGGAUGCAGAAAUCUUCUGGGUUUGAGAGAAAUGUUGUUUCUGUUUGGUGAGACAGUAUACUAAAUUUAGACAACAUAGGUCAUUACUGUAAUGCAUAGGUGCUGCCCUGUGAAUGAUUCAGAAUUGAGGGCUUAAGCUUACCUUAGUUUUUGAAAUGUAGAAACAAGACUUUUAAAGUCAGCCAUUGCCAGUGCUUUAUUUUAAUGCUUGAUUUUCAUAACAAAAAAAA